rnacentral:misc_RNA from 1 species
GAUGAAGAACGUAGCGAAAUGCGAUAAGUAAUGUGAAUUGCAGAAUUCAGUGAAUCAUCGAAUCUUUGAACGCACAUUGCGCCCCUUGGUAUUCCGAGGGGCAUGCCUGUUCGAGCGUCAUUAUAAUCCCUCAAGCUCAGCUUGGUGUUGGGGCCUGCUGCACUGGCAGCCCUUAAAAUCAGUGGCGGCGCCAUCUGGCUCUAAGCGUAGUAAUUCUUCUCGCUAUGGAGUCCUGGUGGAUGCUUGCCAUCAACCCCCAAUUUUUCUAUGGUUGACCUCGGAUCAGGUAGGGAUACCCGCUGAACUUAAGCAUAUCAAUAAGCGGAGGA